GCUGGGCGUGGUGGUGGGCGCCUGUAAUCCCAGCUACUUGGCAGGCUGAGGCAGGAGAAUCGCUUGAACCCGGGAGGCAGAGGCUGCAGUGAGCAGAGAUGGUGCCACUGCACUCUAGCCUGGGUGACAGAGUGAGAUUCCGUUUCAA
rfam:Homo sapiens chromosome 8, GRCh38 reference primary assembly.